rnacentral:tRNA from 1 species
GCCAAUGUAGCUCAGGCAGUAGAGCAUCUCCAUGGUAAGGAGAAGGUCAUCAGUGCAAAUCUGAUCAUUGGCU